rnacentral:lncRNA from 1 species
CAUCUUCACUCAAUCGCAGAUACCUAUGUCAGAGGAAAAGAAGAAAUUAUAGAGAAGAAAACUUCUUGAUCUGACAAAGCAUAAAGCACUUGGAGGCUGGCGUAAGUGCCUUGCACACUGGCUUCUGCGGUUUUCUCCGCCUCCCGGGCUGUCCCAGCUGAGUCCUGGACGUCAGAGCUCCCUCGCACCUGUUCUUCGCCAAACUCCCAGCGCGUGGAGAGGGCCUCGGCGGGUGAGUGCUCCAUGACUGGCCCUCAGUGGAGUCUAGGAAGGCGCGGAGGCUGUGCAAAGGCCCGGGGUUGC